GCCCCCCUCAAGAUGAGAUUUCCCAAUUCGUAAGACCCCUUGAAGACGACGAGGUUGAUAGGUUCGGGGUGGAAGCACAGCAAUGUGUGGAGCUGACGAAUACUAAUCGGUCGAGGGCUUAUCCUAA
rnacentral:rRNA from 1 species